rnacentral:rRNA from 1 species
UACGUAGGGAGCAAGCGUUGUUCGGAAUUAUUGGGCGUAAAGAGCGCGUAGGCGGUUCGGUAAGUCUGACGUGAAAUCCCGGAGCUCAACUCCGGAACUGCGUUGGAUACUGCCGGGCUUGAGUGUGGGAGAGGAGAGUGGAAUUCCCAGUGUAGAGGUGAAAUUCGUAGAUAUUGGGAGGAACACCCGUGGCGAAGGCGGCUCUCUGGACCACAACUGACGCUGAGGCGCGAAAGCUAGGGUAGCAAACGGG